rnacentral:rRNA from 1 species
GAGUUUGAUCGUGGCUCAGAUUGAACGCUGGCGGCAGGCCUAACACAUGCAAGUCGAGCGGUAGAGAGAAGCUUGCUUCUCUUGAGAGCGGCGGACGGGUGAGUAAUGCCUAGGAAUCUGCCUGGUAGUGGGGGAUAACGCUCGGAAACGGACGCUAAUACCGCAUACGUCCUACGGGAGAAAGCAGGGGACCUUCGGGCCUUGGCGCUAUCAGAUGAGCCUAGGUCGGAUUAGCUAGUUGGUGAGGUAAUGGCUCACCAAGGCGACGAUCCGUAACUGGUCUGAGAGGAUGAUCAGUCACACUGGAACUGAGACACGGUCCAGACUCCUACGGGAGGCAGCAGUGGGGAAUAUUGGACAAUGGGCGAAAGCCUGAUCCAGCCAUGCCGCGUGUGUGAAGAAGGUCUUCGGAUUGUAAAGCACUUUAAGUUGGGAGAAGGGCAGUAAAUUAAUACUUUGCUGUUUUGACGUUACGACAGAAUAAGCACCGGCUAACUCUGUGCCAGCCGCCG